CUGUUGCUCCCGUCCCGACGUUUUAACUGGCGCUCUAGGGUUAGCGUCGUGACGUCGUCGCCAGCCCCAGCCCCAGCCCCAACCCGAUCUCCAGCUCCUCGGCCGCCGCUCGAUCUCCUCGGCAGCACCUCGCCACCUCCCCACCAACGCCUUGUCUACCUUCCGCACCCGUCAGCGCACUGCCGUCCGCCUCCCUCGCACCGGCCUCUCCAAUCUCGCGUCUGCGCUCGCCAUGUCCUCGCUGGCGUCCUGACCGGAGGCCACGUGGACCACACCUCCGCCACCAGCGGCUAAGGAGCGUUCCCCUUGCUGCACCGCGUCGUGGCCCAGUCCUCUUCUUGGCCACGCAACAUGAGCAGGAUGGUAUACACUGGCUUCCCGGACAUGCGCCGUCGAGGCUCUGGAUGUGGUCGACGCCGACGAGGACUCGAACAAUUCGUAGAGCCGUGCCGGGUUUGUGGAGGUGAUUGUACGAGUAUUUACCUAGGCGCUUGCAGAUGCCUUGGCAUAUGUCCAAGUACAGGAAUUGAUGGAGUGGUUGCUUAGCACAUACUCCCUCCGUUCCAAAUUACUCGUCGCGAAAAUGAAUGUAUCUAGAACUAAAAUACAUCUAGAUACAUCCAUACUUGCGACAAGUAAUCUGGAACGGAGGGAGUAUCUGGUUAGACUUAGACCAAAUAAUUCAGGUCGAUUGAAAUAUUUUUCUGUAACGAUUUACUCACAUAUGUAAUGCAGAGCAACCUGGUACCCGCACGGGGUCUGACUUGAAUAUUUUCAGGAGAUGACUAGACGUACGUUUGACUUUUAGAUAAUACAUCUGUGAAUUUUGCGGGAUCCUGUAGAGCAGAUGGGCGCCGUUGACGCAUAGUGCAUGGCAGAUCACGCGGUUAAGAUGCUCUUGGGCCUGCUAAGUAACAUAAGACAACUUUCCUAUGAAGAUCGGUUGUUCGGUUUCACUCAGCCGGGUAAUGGAGAAAAGAGAUUUACACAGGACGUGGAAUAUAUUACAAGAUCCAUGGUAAAACUGAGACAGCAUCAAGGCUCUUUGAAGUCAUAAUAUCCAGCCUCACCUUCAAACCUCGACGCUCUACCAUGACUAUGCAUUAUAUUUCAAGAUCCAUGAUAAACUGAAAGAGCAUAAAGGGUCUUACAGGUCAUGGUGGACAGGUUUUGCUGGCAUUGUGGUCCAUUCAUACCAAUUCUUUGAAGCGGUGCCACAGUGCAGUGCUGUAAAAAAAGGUGCGUCGUUUAUCGACCGUGGGCAAUGGAGUGAUGUAAAUGUAAUGUAGAGUACAUAUCUAAGGUACAUAAUGACCUCUUUGUAGUUCUUUGUUGUGCUAUAUGCCUAUCUCAGAUUUUAUGCUAGGUCUAUUUUAGCACGACAUUGGUGUUAGCAGUAAAACCACUUGCAAAUGUAUGUAUAUUGAGUAUAUAAAUUUGUGCUCUAGAAGUGAAAUUUUGA